rnacentral:rRNA from 1 species
GGCUCAGGAUGAACGCUGGCGGCGUGCUUAACACAUGCAAGUCGAACGAUGAAGCCCAGCUUGCUGGGUGGAUUAGUGGCGAACGGGUGAGUAACACGUGAGUAACCUGCCCUUAACUCUGGGAUAAGCCUGGGAAACUGGGUCUAAUACCGGAUAGGAGCGUCCACCGCAUGGUGGGUGUUGGAAAGAUUUAUCGGUUUUGGAUGGACUCGCGGCCUAUCAGCUUGUUGGUGAGGUAAUGGCUCACCAAGGCGACGACCGG